UACGAAGGGGGCUAGCGUUGCUCGGAAUCACUGGGCGUAAAGCGCACGUAGGCGGACUCUUAAGUCAGGGGUGAAAUCCUGGAGCUCAACUCCAGAACUGCCUUUGAUACUGGGAGUCUUGAGUUCGGGAGAGGUGAGUGGAACUGCGAGUGUAGAGGUGAAAUUCGUAGAUAUUCGCAAGAACACCAGUGGCGAAGGCGGCUCACUGGCCCGAUACUGACGCUGAGGUGCGAAAGCGCGGGGAGCAAACAGG
rnacentral:rRNA from 1 species